rnacentral:lncRNA from 1 species
GGGAGCCUUAUUAUUUUCAUAGAGAAGUAAAAUAAAUUAACCACUUAUGUUUGAAAUGUAUAAAUGUGAAAAUUUAUGUUGAGUUCUAGUGCUGCCAGAUGAUCAACAGGAAACAGUCUGCAUCCCCAAACCCAUAAAUGCAACAAGGUAAUACCUGAGUUAUACUGGUUACUACAAGUUUGAUGUUCUUUCAAAGUUUAAAAGCCCCUACACAAGGAAAAAGGUGAGCAUUUCUGGAGGGGGGGGGGGAGGGGAGAGCUUGCUCUCUGGUUUACAAUGCCGUGCUCCCAACAGUUAGGUACUUCCCUAACUACAAUUACCCUAGCAGGAGGAUGAGCCAUGCCCACUGUGCUCUAAGUGUUCCCAGCUGGUGCCGCAGUAACAGCGCUGCAGUGACCCAGGCCCCUUCCCACACCUCUCUCACAAGCUCUCUUUGCCCAGGACUGAUUUAAGAGGGCAGAUGUGACCUGUUCAAACAGGGGCAGCUGCAGGGACAGCAACCCCAGAAAGAGGAUGGUGAGGGCCAUACAGGAUGAGCACAAACUGAAUGUCUAUGACUGUCUGCAACUGUAUCCAAGAUGAUAUUACUUGGGCUCUAACACCUUCUGCUAAUCUGAUAACUAACUCAGUAUUCCCAUUAUAUGUUUUUUUAAUUAUUAAUUCAUUAGGACAGAGGUUAGAGCAUUAGAAGAUGCAUUGAAGUCUUCAGCUAAAUUGUGACAGAAGAAUCACCAGAGUCCUAUGCUGCAGCUGUACGUUUUCACACAGAGGCAGAGCCUGCUCACUCCUACUGCCUGUGCAGGACCGCCAGGCUCCCAGCUCACCCCCUGCCUAACGCAGGGCGUGCAGCGGGAGCGAAUCUUCUGUGGCUGUCAAAGCAGAUUGGGGCUGCUCAGAAAGCAGCCUGGCCCUUCAAGCACUAACACAUGAUUAUUAGUAACUUGAUCGAGCUCAUACACCAAAUUAUGUUCCCAAAUCAUUUCCUAACCCACGAUAUUCACUUUUUAAUGAGCCGUUAGAAAAGUAAAUGAAAACCUCCA